rnacentral:tRNA from 1 species
UGCGGACGUAGCCAAGUGGAUCAAGGCAGUGGAUUGUGGAUCCUCCCCGCGCGGGUCG